rnacentral:snRNA from 1 species
UUGCCAGCACAUAUACUAAAAUUAGAAAGAUACAGAGAAGAUUAGCGUGGUCCCUGAGCAAGGAUGACAGCAAAUUUGUGAAGCGUUCCAUAUUUUU